rnacentral:rRNA from 1 species
UACGGAGGGUGCAAGCGUUGUUCGGAAUUACUGGGCGUAAAGCGCACGUAGGCGGAUUAGUAAGUCAGGGGUGAAAUCCCGGGGCUCAACCUCGGAACUGCCUUUGAUACUGCUGAUCUCGAGUCCGGAAGAGGUGAGUGGAAUUCCUAGUGUAGAGGUGAAAUUCGUAGAUAUUAGGAAGAACACCAGUGGCGAAGGCGGCUCACUGGUCCGGUACUGACGCUGAGGUGCGAAAGCGUGGGGAGCAAACAGG